AAGUCGUAACAAGGUUUCCGUAGGUGAACCUGCGGAAGGAUCAUUACCUAGAGUUGUGGGCUUGCCCACUAUCUCUUACCCAUGUCUUUUGAGUACUUACGUUUCCUCGGCGGGUUCGCCCGCCGAUUGGACAAUUUAAACCAUUUGCAGUUGCAAUCAGCGUCUGAAAAACAUAAUAGUUACAACUUUCAACAACGGAUCUCUUGGUUCUGGCAUCGAUGAAGAACGCAGCGAAAUGCGAUAAGUAGUGUGAAUUGCAGAAUUCAGUGAAUCAUCGAAUCUUUGAACGCACAUUGCGCCCCUUGGUAUUCCAUGGGGCAUGCCUGUUCGAGCGUCAUUUGUACCUUCAAGCUUUGCUUGGUGUUGGGUGUUUGUCUCGCCUUUGCGUGUAGACUCGCCUUAAAAUAAUUGGCAGCCGGCGUAUUGAUUUCGGAGCGCAGUACAUCUCGCGCUUUGCACUCAUAACGACAGCGUCCAAAAGUACAUUUUACACUCUUGACCUCGGAUCAGGUAGGGAUACCCGCUGAACUUAAGCAUAUCAAUAA
rnacentral:rRNA from 1 species